rnacentral:rRNA from 1 species
AUUGAACGCUGGCGGCAUGCCUUACACAUGCAAGUCGAACGGUAACGGGCCUUCGGGUGCCGACGAGUGGCGAACGGGUGAGUAAUGUAUCGGAACGUACCUUUCAGUGGGGGAUAACGUAGCGAAAGUUACGCUAAUACCGCAUAUUCUGUGAGCAGGAAAGCAGGGGAUCGCAAGACCUUUCGCUGAUUGAGCGGCCGAUAUCAGAUUAGCUAGUUGGUGAGGGAAAGGCUCACCAAGGCGACGAUCGGUAGCGGGUCUGAGAGGAUGAUCCGCCACACUGGAACGGAGACACGGUCCAGACUCCUACGGGAGGCAGCAGUGGGGAAUUUUGGACAAUGGGGGCAACCCUGAUCCAGCCAUGCCGCGUGAGUGAAGAAGGCCUUCGGGUUGUAAAGCUCUUUCGGCCGGGAAGAAAUCGUAUGGGUUAAUACCCUGUGCGGAUGACGGUACCGGCAUAAGAAGCACCGGCUAACUACGUGCCAGCCGCCGCAGUAAUAC